AUUGAACGCUGGCGGCAGGCCUAACACAUGCCAGUCGAGCGAGCGGCGGACGGGUGAGUAAUGUCUGGGAAACUGCCUGAUGGAGGGGGAUAACUACUGGAAACGGUAGCUAAUACCGCAUACCAUCAGAUGUGCCCAGAUGGGAUUAGCUAGUAGGUGGGGUCAUGGCUCACCUAGGCGACGAUCCCUAGCUGGUCUGAGAGGAUGACCAGCCACACUGGCACUUAGACACGGUCCAGACGCCUACGGGAGGCAGCAGUGGGGAAUAGUGCGCAAUGGGCGCAAGCCUGAUGCAGCCAUGCCGCGUGUGUGAAGAAGGUCUUCGGGUUGUAAAGCACUUUCAGCGGGGAGGCGUUACCCGCAGAAGAAGCACCGGCUAACUCCGUGCCAGCAGCCGCGGUAAUUC
rnacentral:rRNA from 1 species